CUCUAGCUUGCUAGAGAAGAUUAGUGGCGGACGGGUGAGUAACAUUUAGGAAUCUGCCUAGUAGUGGGGGAUAGCUCGGGGAAACUCGAAUUAAUACCGCAUACGACCUACGGGUGAAAGGGGGCGCAAGCUCUUGCUAUUAGAUGAGCCUAAAUCAGAUUAGCUAGUUGGUGGGGUAAAGGCCCACCAAGGCGACGAUCUGUAACUGGUCUGAGAGGAUGAUCAGUCACACCGGAACUGAGACACGGUCCGGACUCCUACGGGAGGCAGCAGUGGGGAAUAUUGGACAAUGGGGGCAACCCUGAUCCAGCCAUGCCGCGUGUGUGAAGAAGGCCUUUUGGUUGUAAAGCACUUUAAGCAGGGAGGAGAGGCUAAUGGUUAAUACCCAUUAGAUUAGACGUUACCUGCAGAAUAAGCACCGGCUAACUCUGUGCCAGCAGCCGCGGUAAUACAGAGGGUGCGAGCGUUAAUCGGAAUUACUGGGCGUAAAGCGAGUGUAGGUGGCUCAUUAAGUCACAUGUGAAAUCCCCGGGCUUAACCUGGGAACUGCAUGUGAUACUGGUGGUGCUAGAAUAUGUGAGAGGGAAGUAGAAUUCCAGGUGUAGCGGUGAAAUGCGUAGAGAUCUGGAGGAAUACCGAUGGCGAAGGCAGCUUCCUGGCAUAAUAUUGACACUGAGAUUCGAAAGCGUGGGUAGCAAACAGGAUUAGAUACCCUGGUAGUCCACGCCGUAAACGAUGUCUACUAGCCGUUGGGGUCCUUGAGACUUUAGUGGCGCAGUUAACGCGAUAAGUAGA
rnacentral:rRNA from 1 species